rnacentral:rRNA from 1 species
AGGCGCGAAACCUUUACACUGCACGCGAGUGCGAUAAGGGGACUCCAGGUGCGAGGGCAUAUAGUCCUCGCUUUUCUCGACCGUAGGGAGGUCGAGGAACAAGUGCUGGGCAAGACCGGUGCCAGCCGCCGCGGUAAUACCGGCAGCACAAGUGAUGACCGCUGUUAUUGGGCUAAAGCGUCCGUAGCUGGCCAGACAAGUUCAUCGGGAAAUCUGUGCGCCUAACGCACAGGCGUCCGGUGGAAACUGCCUGGCUUGGGACCGGAAGACCAGAGGGGUACGUCUGGGGUAGGAGUGAAAUCCCGUAAUCCUGGACGGACCACCGGUGGCGAAAGCGCCUCUGGAAGACGGAUCCGACGGUGAGGGACGAAAGCUCGGGUCACGAACCGGAUUAGAUACCCGGGUAGUCCGAGCUGUAAACGAUGUCUGCUAGGUGUGACACAGGCUACGAGCCUGUGUUGUGCCGUAGGGAAGCCGUGAAGCAGACCGCCUGGGAAGUACGUCCGCAAGGAUGAAACUUAAAGGAAUUGGCGGGGGAGCACUACAACCGGAGGAGCCUGCGGUUUAAUUGGACUCAACGCCGGACAUCUCACCAGCAUCGACAGUGUGCAGUGACGGUCAGUGUGAUGAGCUUACUUGAGCCACUGAGAGGAGGUGCAUGGCCGCCGUCAGCUCGUACCGUGAGGCGUCCUGUUAAGUCAGGCAACGAGCGAGACCCGCACCCUUAAUUGCCAGCAACACCCUUGUGGUGGUUGGGUACAUUAAGAGGACUGCCAGUGCCAAACUGGAGGAAGGAACGGGCAACGGUAGGUCAGUAUGCCCCGAAUGUGCUGGGCGACACGCGGGCUACAAUGGUCGAGACAGUGGGAUGCAACGCCGAAAGGCGACGCUAAUCUCCGAAACUCGAUCGUAGUUCGGAUUGAGGGCUGAAACUCGCCCUCAUGAAGCUGGAUUCGGUAGUAAUCGCGCCUCAGAAGGGCGCGGUGAAUACGUCCCUGCUCCUUGCACACACCGCCCGUCAAAGCACCCGAGUGGGGUCCGGAUGAGGCCCGGUUCCGGGUCGAAUCGUCC